rfam:Arabidopsis thaliana chromosome 1, complete sequence.
AAACCAUGAUGUGGGCAAUCUCGUUGGUACUCCUUGAAACGAACCCAAGCAACCUUGAAAGCUUCAACUGGACCUUGUGUGAAGGUAGACAACUUGUUUAAGUGAGGCU